GAAAGAAUGAAUAAACCAACCAGGAAGGCUCCUCUGUGGAGGAUUUUGAAGCUGUGUUGAAACACCUCAAUGCUGUUGCCCAUCCCCACUGAUUCAGGCAGAAGAAGGUCGUAAUGUCUCAUUACCAUGUUAUGUGGAUCCCUCAGUUGACCUGUCUGCUUAUACAGUGGACUGGAAACAAACUGACUUGAACAAUGUAGUCUUCUCGUGGCGACACGGGCAUGAAAAUCAUGGUGCACAGGCGCCGAGCUAUAGACGCAGAGUAACUAUCAACCCCGGAGACCUUAGCAGAGGAAAUCUAACUCUGCAGAUCUUCUCAGCACGCCUGUCUGAUAGUGGACAUUACAGGUGUUUUGUGCCAAAACUGAAAACCUUUUGCAUCGUUCAUCUUAAUGUAACCAAAGAGAUUAAUGUCAGGUCCAGCACAACCACAUCUCCAAAUUUCCACAGCACAACCACAACGCUGAAGCCAGAUGAUCCAGAUAAACUUCUUGACGCGCUCCUUCCUGUUGGUAUCAUCUUUCUCCUGAUUGUCGUUGGAUUUUGUCUGAAGAAACGUGUAACGAUCCGGCAAUGCGUGGGGGAGCUGAAAGGGCAGAAACGAGGAGUGGACCGUUCCAUCCACGUUGAACUUCAGUCUUUGGAGAAUUCAACACUGAAAGACGACAAGAACAAGGCUUCUUGAGAAAUGAGUGAAGAAGUACAAUGUUGUGCUUAUCUUUGAUUGGCUGAGUAAUCAAAAUGAUUUUAGAAAGUGUCCUCAAGCUGCUCUCAUUACGUUACAGCUGGUUUAAGUACAGCUUAAUUCAAAUUAAUUACUUUGGAUUGUUUUAAGUGGUUCUAAAAGCUCAUCCUUAUACCCAUUUAGAUACUUAUAUUUGAUCUGUGUCAUUGUCUUGUAUUUCAUAUUGGAAUAGGAUGUGCUUUUGUUUAGUGUAUGUAGCACUUUGCAGCUUGGCUUCAUUUCAGCCUGUGGAGAUUCCAGGAAGUAACUCAAUUAUGAGAACCAACAUCUACACUUAACAUAUUUGUUAUGCCAUUAUUAUAGUUUGAACAUUACUGUUCAUACCUACUGCUGUUUAAAGCACUUUUGUUGUCUUUGAGAAGAAGAGUUUUUGGAUGUCCUCUGUGUCAGUAAUCAAAAGAAUCAGAUCCAAUUUAAUUAAAACUACCUCGUUAUCUAAGGAUCUGGAAACUACAGUGGCUUGCAAAAGUAUUCGGCCCCUUGAACUUUUCCACCUUUUGUCACGUUACAGCCACAAACAUGAAUCCAUUUUAUUGGAAUUCCAGGUGAAAGACCAAUACAAAGUGGUGUACACUUGAGAAGUGGAACGAAAAUCAUACAUGAUUCCA
ensembl:lncRNA